rnacentral:rRNA from 1 species
AAUAGAUACCCAGGUAGUCCACGCCGUAAACGAUGAGUGCUAAGUGUUAGGAGGGUUUCCGCCCUUUAGUGCUGCAGCUAACGCAUUAAGCACUCCGCCUGGGGAGUACGGCCGCAAGGCUGAAACUCAAAGGAAUUGACGGGGGCCCGCACAAGCGGUGGAGCAUGUGGUUUAAUUCGAAGCAACGCGAAGAGCCUUACCAGGUCUUGACAUCCUCUGCCAACCCUAGAGAUAGGGCGUUCCCCUUCGGGGGACAGAGUGACAGGUGGUGCAUGGUUGUCGUCAGCUCGUGUCGUGAGAUGUUGGGUUAAGUCCCGCAACGAGCGCAACCCUUGAUCUUAGUUGCCAGCAUUCAGUUGGGCACUCUAAGGUGACUGCCGGUGACAAACCGGAGGAAGGUGGGGAUGACGUCAAAUCAUCAUGCCCCUUAUGACCUGGGCUACACACGUGCUACAAUGGAUGGUACAAAGAGCUGCGAACCCGCGAGGGUAAGCGAAUCUCACAAAGCCAUUCUCAGUUCGGAUUGGU